UUGCAAGUUGCAACAAACAGAUGUUGAUGCCAUUCUCCUAAUACACAAGUAAUUUAUUUUUUAGAAGGAUAUAUUUAACCAAUGAAAGUAGUAAGCACACAAGGAAACUUUAUUAAACAUCAAUAAGGGUAUGGCAUUCAACCGCUAUCUAUACCUUCUCCUAGUUGGUGUCUUCACUCUUGUUAUAAGCUCCUCCGUUACAAUCACACAUGCUGUUGCGCCUAUUCUUGAUGUUUCUUCUCUAAAUUGAAGCCGUUUUCCCUCAGGUUUCAUCUUUGGCACCGCCUCCUCCGCAUACCAGUACGAAGGUGCUGCAAAUGAAGGAGGCAGAGGACCAAGUACAUGGGAUACCUAUUCUCAUAAAUAUCCAGGCAUCUCUGUUCAAUCCUUUAAUUUCUUUAAUCGGUGAAUAAUUUGAAAGAGAGAUGAAAAAGAUGCUUGAUUUACCUGAUCUGGUUUUAUACAUUAGUGUAAUAGGUGAAAACUAAAAAAUUAGUUUAAAAUUAUCCUUAGUGUGAAAACCAGAUAAACUCAAGGUCUCUGGACCGGAUUGCUUGAACCUCUCACAGUAUAAAAAUAUUGUAUUAGCUGAAGAUAAGGAACAUACAGAGUGGAGUUCCUCUCUUUUUCUGUGUAAAAUUUGAUUAGUUGUGUUGUUUUGUCACAUUAUGGUAUGCAAAAGUCGUUCUUAAGACACUGUUAAAAGUGAAGAAUCAGAACAGAUUUUAAGAAAACAGAGAUAAUUAAUUAGGUAUUUAAGAAGACAAAAGCUGAGGCUAAAUCAGUAUAUUGAUUUGAUAACCGUUGUUCCACUCCCUCUGGCCAACGGCAGUUGCCCUGUAUCUGUUUUCUUCAUUCUUCAUGUAGUAAUUGGUGCAUUUGCAAACAGAAAAAAUAUCGGAUAGAAGCAAUGGAGAUGUAGCAGUUGAUCAAUAUCAUCACUAUAAGGAAGAUGUUGGGAUCAUGAAGUAAAUGAACACUGAUGCUUACAGAUUCUCCAUCUCUUGGUCAAGGAUAUUACCAAGUAAUCAAAUCGGAUUUAGUUUCAUCCUUACCAGUUUCAAAAUGACUUCCAAGACUACACAGAGCUAUGCUUCAAGGAAUUUGGAGAUAGAGUGAAGCAUUGAAUUACUUCUAAUGAGCCAUGGAGUUACAGUAUGAGUUCAGAACCCUGCAUGAGCUCUCACUACCAACUACUUGCUCAUGCAGCUGCUGUCAAAAUUUAUAAAACCAAUCUAAGUGUGUUUGGCGUCUCAAAAUGGUUUGAUAGGCAUCACCUUAAAUUGUCACUGGUUUGUUCCGUUCUCAAAUGACACAUUAGAUCAUCAAGCUUCCCAACGAGCUCUUGAUUUCAUGUUUGGAUGGUUUAUGCAACCACUUACAACAGGAAAUUAUCCAGAAACCAUGCAGUCUUUGCUGGGAAGUCGAUUACCAAACUUCACAGGAGCAAUCCAAGCUACUUAUUGGAUACUUACAGAAUUGACUACUUCUAUCGCCAUCUUUAUUAUAUUCUAAUUGCAAUCAAGUAAGUGUGACACUCUCUUCACUUAUUCCAUAAUUUAAUUUUAUGAUUUUUUGUUGGCUUUUGGUGCGAAGGGAUGGGGUGAAUGUACAAGGAUAUUUUGCACGGUCGCUUAUGGACAACUUCGAAUGGAGUGCUGGCUACACCUUGCGUUUUGGAAUUAACUUCGUUGAUUACAAGGAUAAUUUGAAAAGACACCAAAAGCUCUCUGCCCAUUUGGUUUAGGAAUUUUCUUCAAAAAUACUAGACUCAUUGUAUGAUGACCUCUAUAAUUAAUAAAAUAAAAUGAAAACUUGGCAA